rnacentral:rRNA from 1 species
AUGAGUCACGGAGAUGGCACUGAUCUUUUUGGUUCUCAAAGGCCAGAAAUGCCCCCUUGGGAUGCAUCAGAAUACAGUCAACUCAUUUCUGUAGGGCCGUUGCUGCCACUACUAGAACAAUACGCAGGCAUUGGUUCUUAUGACCAAAACACCCUCAGGGGGGCACCAUGGCAAGUUCAGUCACAGGGCGCUAACACUGACAAAUGUGCGGGCAACCAACUUCAAGUAGCUAAUGUGGCAAGUCAAGAGCCUUCGUGCAACACGUGGCGGCAGUCGGCACCCAUGUACCUGCCAUCGACGUCAUACACAGGUUAUUACAAUGCUUCUACCCCGGCAAACGUCUCAUGGCAAGCUUCACACAAUGCAGAUAGAGCACAUCAAUUUGGUGUUACAGACCACACAAGAUGGGCACAUACAGCACAUCAAGGGCCUACAACUACAGUGAACAGCGGCGCAAGGGCAUCUACUGCGGGAAGCUCUGAGUGCACGGAAGACGCGGUCCUCCAGCCAGCCACAAGUCAUGCCGCAGACAAUACCGAGUCAAAGUCAGAAAUGGCAAUCAUUCCUGCAGUGCCGACAAGCACCCCUUUGAACACAAGCACUGGCAAUACUCAAGUAGAUCAAACUGCCACCGAUACUGAAGUGAAUCAUGAAACUGAUGAAGAAGCACAAUGGGAUGAAGAUGGUGGGCAAUCAGAGAUCAUGGUACCUCAGCCACCGUAUGGUGGGCAGAGAUUUGAAUCAUUCGAAGAAGCAAAGGAAUUCUACCAGACAUAUGUAAAGUUCCAUGGGUUUGCGGUCAACACCGAAUACCAUAGGAAGAUUAAGAAAAUAAACGAGUACAACAGAGGUGAGAUGAGGUGCCACAAGGCACGAAGGAACAAGAAGGGGAAAGGUGUUGCGCCUGUCGUUCCAGAACGAAAGAGAGGAAUCAUUCUCAAGAUGGAAUGCCCUGUCCGGUGUAAGCUAAAUGUAGAUGGAGCACAGUGGGUGGUCACUGAAUAUUUUGAUGAGCACAACCACCAACUCAUAAAGAAGUUCGACCUGGUGAAGUUUCUGACCGCCCAAAGAGGAUUCACCCCACUCGAGAAGAAAUUCAUAAAGUUGCUACAUGAUUGUAACGUCGGUCCAUCAAGAAUGGUCCAGAUACUAUCACUCAUCCAUAGCAAAAAGGGGACUCUGAGUAGCAUGCCCUACAUACCAGCUGACGAAGAAAUAAAGCGCGCCAGCAUGUUCACGGCUUUCCAGGUGGACGAACAUACGUUCAAAGUGUGUUCCAUUUUGGGCAUGUCGGAUUCAGAACCUGAGGACCCAGACAAGGGAAGGAACUACUUCGUGAAAGCCUCGAUUGGCCAAGGCGAAUACUACUGCCAAUGCUGCAAGUUUGAACGGGACGGCAUUGUGUGCUGUCACAUACUAAAAGUAAUGGACAUGAACACGGUGACACGGAUGCCCCGCCAUUUCAUAAGGCGGCGAUGGACUUGGGACGCUGACGACGCAUUGGUGCCACAAACAACAAACGCAGUUCUGGCUGUGCAUGACGAGAGACCGGAGUCAACCAUGGAAGCCGUGAGGCACGUUGUGCUGACAAAGAACUAUGCUGAGCUAAUUGAUGAAGCAUGCAAGAGUGAUGAGACAGCGAGAAUCGCAGAAAAACACAGGAAGGCCUUGAAAAGAGAGCUUGAUGAGAUCAAGAAGAGGAAAGCUGAGGAAGCCUUACACUGGUUCCCCCGCACAUCAAGUGUUCCUUCGUCCACAGGGCCAUCGUCAGAAAACUCGGAGAUAGGAUCUGGAACAGCAAGCACACAAACCCAGGUCAGGAACCCGCUCCGUUCCAUCACAAAGGGGCGUCCAAAAGAGAUAAGGUACAAAUCAGGAUUGGAGAUUCAAGCAAAAUACAAGAAAACAAAGAAAGGGACAGGCAAUCCUUAA